rnacentral:misc_RNA from 1 species
UGAAAUGCGAUAAGUAAUGUGAAUUGCAGAAUCUCGUGAAUCAUCGAAUCUUUGAACGCACAUUGCGCCCUAUGGUAUUCCGUAGGGCAUGCCUGUCUGAGCGUCAACUCCCACCCACUCAAGUCUUCUUUUGUUAGGAGAUUUGGAUUGCUUUGAGGAAGUAUCAAAAAAAAUUUUUUUUGCUGCUCCUCAGAAAUUUAUAGGCAGUAUGGUCAAACCUGAACCAGGCGUAAUAAUUCUAUAAAAUCGUCUAAUGAAAGGAAAGUCUGUAUUAGUCUUCAACCCCAAAUUUAUUUUUUUUUGGGUGACCUCAGAUCAGGUAGGGAUACCCGCUGAACUUAA